rnacentral:rRNA from 1 species
CCUACGGGUGGCAGCAGUGGGGAAUAUUGGACAAUGGGGGCAACCCUGAUCCAGCCAUGCCGCGUGUGUGAAGAAGGCCCUCGGGUUGUAAAGCACUUUCAGUGAGGAAGAACGCCUGGUGGUUAAUACCCAUCAGGAAAGACAUCACUCACAGAAGAAGCACCGGCUAACUCCGUGUCAGCAGCCGCGGUAAUACGGAGGGUGCGAGCGUUAAUCGGAAUUACUGGGCGUAAAGCGCGCGUAGGUGGCUUGAUAAGCCGGUUGUGAAAGCCCCGGGCUCAACCUGGGAACGGCAUCCGGAACUGUCAAGCUAGAGUGCAGGAGAGGAAGGUAGAAUUCCCGGUGUAGCGGUGAAAUGCGUAGAGAUCGGGAGGAAUACCAGUGGCGAAGGCGGCCUUCUGGACUGACACUGACACUGAGGUGCGAAAGCGUGGGUAGCAAACAGGAUUAGAUACCCUUGUAGUC